AGGGUUUGAUUAUGGCUCAGGAUGAACGCUAGCGACAGGCUUAACACAUGCAAGUCGAGGGGCAGCAUUCGGUAGCAAUACUGAGAUGGCGACCGGCGCACGGGUGAGUAACGCGUAUGUAACCUGCCUGAUACAGGGGCAUAGCCCAUGGAAACGUGGAUUAAUUCCCCAUACUACUUUUGUGAGGCAUCUUAUGAGAGUGAAAUCUUCGGAGGUAUCAGAUGGACAUGCGUCCUAUUAGGCAGUUGGCGGGGUAACGGCCCACCAAACCGAUGAUAGGUAGGGGUUCUGAGAGGAAGGUCCCCCACAUUGGAACUGAGACACGGUCCAA
rnacentral:rRNA from 1 species